CCGGGCGCACGGGUGAGUAACGCGUAUGCAACUUACCUAUCAGAGGGGGAUAACCCGGCGAAAGUCGGACUAAUACCGCAUGAAGCAGGGGCCCCGCAUGGGGAUAUUUGCUAAAGAUUCAUCGCUGAUAGAUAGGCAUGCGUUCCAUUAGGCAGUUGGCGGGGUAACGGCCCACCAAACCGACGAUGGAUAGGGGUUCUGAGAGGAAGGUCCCCCACAUUGGUACUGAGACACGGACCAA
rnacentral:rRNA from 1 species